UUUUCUAUUUUGUCACAGAGUAAGAUUGUUUCCUUGAGGCAAGAAAGAAAGGGGAGAGGUCCUGACAAACAAGAGGUAGCAUUAAGGAAGAGGAGCCUUACAGUAAACACUUAGAACUUCUUCCCUGAACAAGACAACCUUUGAAAGUAAACAUGAAGAAGGCAAAAAAAGACACCAGUGUGGCCCCCUGAGACCCAGAGGAUCCUAUCCUGCUGCUCGCUCUGCAGGCCCAGCAAGUGUGGGCCUGGAGGAUUGUCUCCCCCAUCGGACUGCCCAUGUACUAGAAGCCGAUUGCUUGCUCGCCGCCUGUACUCUGGACACUGUUCUAUGCUAGCUAGCCGAUUUUACAGAUCAGCUUUAGCCUGGACACACCAGGGAAUUUUUUACUCUCUGGUGG
rnacentral:lncRNA from 1 species